rnacentral:tRNA from 1 species
AGGGGUGUCGCCAAGCGGUAAGGCAACGGGUUUUGAUCCCGUCAUUCUGGGGUUCGAAUCCCUGCACCCCUGCCA